rnacentral:hammerhead_ribozyme from 1 species
AUCUAGCUGACGAGUCCAAAAUAGGACGAAACGCGUGUCCUGGAU